UGAGUACGAGAUGCUACGGCAUCGAAGCAGUCUAUGUCAUACUUCCAAGAAAAGCUUGCAAUGUCAUAAACAAAUAAUGCCUGUACCAUAACCGACACAGGUGGGUAGGUAGAGUAUACUAAGGGGCGCGACAUAACUCUCUCUAAGGAACUCGGCAAAAUGACUCCGUAACUUCGGGAGAAGGAGUGCCUUAUUUUUAUAAGGUUGCAAUAACAAGAUCCAAGCAACUGUUUACCAAAAACACAGGUCUCCGCUAAGUCGUAAGACGAUGUAUGGGGGCUGACGCCUGCCCAGUGCCAGAAGGUUAAAGAAGUUGGUUAGCAUUAGCGAAGCUGAUAACUGAAGCCCUGGUGAACGGCGGCCGUAACUAUAACGGUCCUAAGGUAGCGAAAUUCCUUGUCGGGUAAGUUCCGACCCGCACGAAAGGCGUAAUGAUUUGGAUACUGUCUCGGAGAGGGGCUCGGUGAAAUAGACUUGUCUGUGAAGAUGCGGACUACCUGCACCUGGACAGAAAGACCCUAUGAAGCUUUACUGUAACUUGAGAUUGAAAUUGGACUUUAUCUGCGCAGUAUAGGUGGGAGACGUUGAAAAUAUUCUUGCGGGAAUAUUGGAGUCAUCAGUGAGAUACCACUCUUAUAAUGUUAGAUUUCUAACUUUGUAUCAUUACCUGGUCAAAGAACAGUUUCAGGCGGGCAGUUUGACUGGUCGGUCGCCUCCCAAACGGUAACGGAGGCGCACAAAGGUUUCCUCUGAACGUGUAGAAAUCGUAUCUAGAGUGUAAAGGCAUAAGGAAGCUUGACUGUGAGACCUACAAGUCGAGCAGGGACGAAAGUCGGUCUUAGUGAUCUGACGGUGCUGAGUGGAAAGGCCGUCACUCAACGGAUAAAAGUUACUCUAGGGAUAACAGGCUGAUCUCCCCCAAGAGUUCACAUCGACGGGGAGGUUUGGCACCUCGAUGUCGGCUCAUCGCAUCCUGGGGCGGUAGUACGUCCCAAGGGUUGGGCUGUUCGCCCAUGAAAGCGGUACGCGAGCUGGGUUCAGAACGUCGUGAGACAGUUCGGCCCAUAUCCGGUGUAGGCGUUAGAAUAUUGAGAGGAGCCUUCUUUAGUACGAGAGGACCGAGAAGGACAUACCUCUGGUGUACCAGUUAUCGUGCCAACGGUAAACGCUGGGUAGCCAUGUAUGGAGAGGAUAACCGCUGAAAGCAUCUAAGUGGGAAGCCCACCUCAAGAUAAGUAUUCUCAUC
rnacentral:rRNA from 1 species